rnacentral:rRNA from 1 species
AGCCUGAACGCUGGCGGCGUGGCUAAGACAUGCAAGUCGCACGGGGUAGCAAUACCCAGUGGCGAACGGGAGAGUAAUGAAUCGCUAACGUACCCCGGACUCCGGGAUAGCUGCCCGAAAGGGCAGGUAAUACCGGAUGACAUAACCCCUUGGCAUCUUGGGGUUCUCAAAGGUCCACUAGCAAUAGUGGAU